rnacentral:tRNA from 1 species
CUGGGGUUGUGGCUCAGUGGCAGAGCGCUUUCCUAGCAUGCAUGAGGCACUGAGUUCAAUCCAGUACCACAUA